UCGAAAGUAGUUUAUACAAAAUAUUAAAUUGUCAAUUUAAAGAUGUCUGCGGAUCUUUCGAU
rnacentral:tRNA from 1 species